rnacentral:rRNA from 1 species
UACGUAGGGGGCAAGCGUUGUCCGGAUUUAUUGGGCGUAAAGCGCUCGCAGGUGGUUCGUUGCGUCGUGCGUGAAAGACCCCGGCUCAACUGGGGAGGGUCGUGCGAUACGGGCGAACUGUAGGCCAGUAGGGGGAUGCGGAAUUCCGGGUGUAGUGGUGGAAUGCGUAGAGAUCCGGAGGAACACCAGCUGCGAAGGCGGCAUCCUGGACUGGUCCUGACACUCAGGAGCGAAAGCGUGGGGAGCGAUCCGG